UCACUACGGUGAUGAAGUAGCUCAUGCCCCGCUUCCAGGAAAAGCCUCUAAGCUCUAGAUUAUCAUUAAUCGUACCCCAAACCGACACAGGUGGUCAGGUAGAGAAUACUCAGGCGCUUGAGAGAACUCGGGUGAAGGAACUAGGCAAAAUGGUGCCGUAACUUCGGGAGAAGGCACGCUGGCGCUAGGUGAAGUGGUUUACCCAUGGAGCUGAAGCCAGUCGCAGAUACCAGCUGGCUGCAACUGUUUAUUAAAAACACAGCACUGUGCAAACACGAAAGUGGACGUAUACGGUGUGACGCCUGCCCGGUGCUGGAAGGUUAAUUGAUGGGGUUAUCCGUAAGGAGAAGCUCUUGAUCGAAGCCCCAGUAAACGGCGGCCGUAACUAUAACGGUCCUAAGGUAGCGAAAUUCCUUGUCGGGUAAGUUCCGACCUGCACGAAUGGCGUAAUGAUGGCCAGGCUGUCUCCACCCGAGACUCAGUGAAAUUGAACUCGCUGUGAAGAUGCAGUGUACCCGCGGCAAGACGGAAAGACCCCGUGAACCUUUACUAUAGCUUGACACUGAACAUUGAGCCUUGAUGUGUAG
rnacentral:rRNA from 1 species